UACGUAGGGUGCGAGCGUUAAUCGGAAUUACUGGGCGUAAAGAGUGCGUAGGCGGUUCGUUAUGUCUGCUGUGAAAGCCCUGGGCUUAACCCGGGAACUGCAGUGGAAACUGGCGGGCUUGAGUAUGGCAGAGGGGGGUGGAAUUCCGCGUGUAGCAGUGAAAUGCGUAGAGAUGCGGAGGAACACCGAUGGCGAAGGCAGCCCCCUGGGCCAAUACUGACGCUCAUGCACGAAAGCGUGGGGAGCAAACAG
rnacentral:rRNA from 1 species